AGUGAACGCUGGCGGCAGGCCUAACACAUGCAAGUCGAACGGCAGCACAGUAAGAGCUUGCUCUUACGGGUGGCGAGUGGCGGACGGGUGAGGAAUACAUCGAAAUCUACUUUUUCGUGGGGGAUAACGUAGGGAAACUUACGCUAAUACCGCAUACGACCUACGGGUGAAAGCAGGGGAUCUUCGGACCUUUCGCGAUUGAAUGAGCCGAUGUCGGAUUAGCUAGUUGGCGGGGUAAAGGCCCACCAAGGCGACGAUCCGUAGCUGGUCUGAGAGGAUGAUCAGCCACACUGGAACUGAGACACGGUCCAGACUCCUACGGGAGGCAGCAGUGGGGAAUAUUGGACAAUGGGCGCAAGCCUGAUCCAGCCAUACCGCGUGGGUGAAGAAGGCCUUCGGGUUGUAAAGUCCUUUUGUUGGGAAAGAAAAGAAGCAGGUUAAUACCCCGCUGUUCUGACGGUACCCGAAGAAUAAGCACCGGCUAACUUCGUG
rnacentral:rRNA from 1 species